AUUGAACGCUGGCGGCAUGCCUUACACAUGCAAGUCGAACGGCAGCACGGGAGCAAUCCUGGUGGCGAGUGGCGAACGGGUGAGUAAAGUAUCGGAACGUACCUUUCAGUGGGGGAUAACGUAGCGAAAGUUACGCUAAUACCGCAUAUUCUGUGAGCAGGAAAGCAGGGGAUCGCAAGACCUUGCGCUGAUGGAGCGGCCGAUAUCAGAUUAGCUAGUUGGUGAGGUAAAGGCCCACCAAGGCGACGAUCGAUAGCUGGUCUGAGAGGAUGAUCAGCCACACUGGAACUGAGACACGGUCCAGACUCCUACGGGAGGCAGCAGUAGGGAAUAUUGGACAAUGGGGGCAACCCUGAUCCAGCCAUGCCGCGUGAGUGAAGAAGGCCCUCGGGUUGUAAAGCUCUUUUGUCCGGAAAGAAAAGCAUCUGGUUAAUACCCGGGUGUUCUGACGGUACCGGAAGAAUAAGC
rnacentral:rRNA from 1 species